AUGUCAGGCGGUCCUGAGUGGACGGAGGUGAGGAGGAAAGGCGGUACGAGGGUGGUUCUUCGUUGGGACACCUUCCCGGUUGGUCGGGUUUCGCCUGGUUUUGCAGGAGGCAACAUUUCUACCAUUUUCUUUUCUGAAAUCUCUGAUAGAAUCAGAGCCCAUGAUAUUUAUGAGCUAUUCGGAUGUGUGGGUGAUGUGGUGGAGGUGGUGAUACCACCCAAAAGAAACAAAGUGGGGAAGAGAUUUGGUUUGGCCAGGUUCAAGGAAGUUGUGGAGGCUAGAAUGUUGGCAGUGAGAAGUUGUGGAGGCUAG